rnacentral:rRNA from 1 species
GGUUCCACCUCUUCCCAUCCCGAACAGAGAAGUUAAGCCCGCUAGCGCCGAUGGUACUGUGCGAACGGGAGAGCAGGUCGCCGCCGACU